GCCGGGUGUGGUGGCACGUGCCUGUAAUCCCAGCUACUUGGGAGGCUGAGGCAGGAGAAUCGCUUGAACCCAGGAAGUGGAGGUUGCAGUGAGGUGAGAUCACACCACUGCACCCAAGCCUGGGUGACAGAGUGAGACUCUGUCUCAU
ensembl:misc_RNA Metazoa_SRP Metazoan signal recognition particle RNA